rnacentral:rRNA from 1 species
GAGGAGCCUGCGGCGGAUUAGCUAGUUGGCAGGGUAACGGCCUACCAAGGCGACGAUCCGUAGCCGGCCUGAGAGGGCGGUCGGCCACACUGGCACUGACACACGGGCCAGACUCCUACGGGAGGCAGCAGUCGGGAAUUUUGGGCAAUGGGCGAAAGCCUGACCCAGCAACGCCGCGUGAAGGAUGAAGCUUUUCGGAGUGUAAACUUCAUAAGAAUGGGACGAAUAAGAGAGGGCUAAUACCCCUUUUGAUGACGGUACCAUUUGUAAGCUCCGGCUAACUCCGUGCCAGCAGCCGCGGUAAUACGGGGGGAGCAAGCGUUGUUCGGAUUUACUGGGCGUAAAGGGCGCGUAGGCGGCGCAACAAGCCACUUGUGAAAUCUCCGGGCUUAACCCGGAGCGGCCAAGUGAUACUGUCGUGCUAGAGUGCGGAAGGGGCUACUGGAAUUCUCGGUGUAGCGGUGAAAUGCGUAGAUAUCGAGAGGAACACCUGCGGCGAAGGCGGGUAGCUGGGCCGACACUGACGCUGAUGCGCGAAAGCCAGGGGAGCGAACGGGAUUAGAUACCCCGGUAGUCCUGGCCUUAAACGAUGGAUACUUGGUGU